rnacentral:rRNA from 1 species
UACGGAGGGUGCAAGCGUUAUCCGGAUUCACUGGGUUUAAAGGGUGCGUAGGUGGGCAGUUAAGUCAGUGGUGAAAUCUCCGGGCUUAACCCGGAAACUGCCAUUGAUACUAUCUGUCUUGAAUAUCGUGGAGGUAAGCGGAAUAUGUCAUGUAGCGGUGAAAUGCUUAGAUAUGACAUAGAGAACCAAUUGCGAAGGCAGCUUACUACCCGAAUAUUGACACUGAGGCACGAAAGCGUGGGGAUCAAACAGG